rnacentral:rRNA from 1 species
UGUGAGGUUAAGCGACUAAGCGUACACGGUGGAUGCCCUGGCAGUCAGAGGCGAUGAAGGGCGUGCUAAUCUGCGAUAAGCGCCGGUAAGGUGAUAUGAACCGUUAUAACCGGCGAUACCCGAAUGGGGAAACCCAGUGUGAUUCGUCACACUAUCAUUAACUGAAUCCAUAGGUUAAUGAGGCGAACCGGGGGAACUGAAACAUCUAAGUACCCCGAGGAAAAGAAAUCAACCGAGAUUCCCCCAGUAGCGGCGAGCGAACGGGGAGGAGCCCAGAGCCUGAAUCAGCAUGUGUGUUAGUGGAAGCGUCUGGAAAGGCGCGCGAUACAGGGUGACAGCCCCGUACACAAAAGCGCAUGUGCUGUGAGCUCGAUGAGUAGGGCGGGACACGUGGUAUCCUGUCUGAAUAUGGGGGGACCAUCCUCCAAGGCUAAAUACUCCUGACUGACCGAUAGUGAACCAGUACCGUGAGGGAAAGGCGAAAAGAACCCCGGCGAGGGGAGUGAAAAAGAACCUGAAACCGUGUACGUACAAGCAGUGGGAGCCCCACCACUAAGCCAGUGGUGAACUCCACAUACGCAUCCUUUGCUGAGGAUACGGUUAACGGAGCGAAAGCGACGUUCAACCUCAAAAGAAGCAGAGGGGGCUUAGUGGUGGGGUGACUGCGUACCUUUUGUAUAAUGGGUCAGCGACUUAUAUUCUGUAGCAAGGUUAACCGAAUAGGGGAGCCGGAGGGAAACCGAGUCUUAACCGGGCGUUAAGUUGCAGGGUAUAGACCCGAAACCCGGUGAUCUAGCCAUGGGCAGGUUGAAGGUUGGGUAACACUAACUGGAGGACCGAACCGACUAAUGUUGAAAAAUUAGCGGAUGACCUGUGGCUGGGGGUGAAAGGCCAAUCAAACCGGGAGAUAGCUGGUUCUCCCCGAAAGCUAUUUAGGUAGCGCCUCGUGAAUUCAUCUCCGGGGGUAGAGCACUGUUUCGGCUAGGGGGCCAUCCCGGCUUACCAACCCGAUGCAAACUGCGAAUACCGGAGAAUGUUAUCACGGGAGACACACGGCGGGUGCUAACGUCCGUCGUGAAGAGGGAAACAACCCAGACCGCCAGCUAAGGUCCCAAAGUCAUGGUUAAGUGGGAAACGAUGUGGGAAGGCCCAGACAGCCAGGAUGUUGGCUUA